AAUCGAAUUUUUACCCCAUUACGUUUGGUUCUCUUCUUUUCCCCGUCUGCUCUCUCUUCCUCUCUUUUCUAGAUUUAGCUUUUUUCCCCUAUUAUCUGCUCUCUCUCUCUCUCUCUCUCUCUCUCUCUCUCAGAUUUAGCUUUGUUCCCUAUUUUGUAUCUUUUGGCUGAUUUUGUGGGUUAGUGCUGUGGAUCUUGAAAAAGUUAAGGAUACAAUCAAACGUUUACUGCAAAAGUUGUUGCUCGAAUUUCCAGUUUUUCUCUGCGGCUUUGCAAGCUCUUUAUCAUCAAGGUAUAUCAUUUUUUCCUUUUUCUUGAAUCUUUUGUCGGAUGGAAUCGUUUUUUGUUUUCUUUUUUCGGAGGGACCAUGUUUUGUUUGCAUAUGAGUUUUUUGUGGUUUUUGUUUGGAUAUUUCAGUUUUGGCCAUUUGCAAAUAGUUUUUCUCAAUAAAUAAUGAAAAAUGGGUCUCUGCUGUGAGUGAUUGAAUAAUAUUUACAUUGCAAUUAAUAAAGUUAGCAUUAAUUGUGGUAAAAUCAAUUGUAAAUUAUCCAAAAUGACAAUAUGAUUGGAAACGCUAUGGCGACGACAACCAGCAAUCUUUGAUAUUGUGAAGAUAACAAUUUUAGUCUUUUUGGAUUGAAAGCCUAAUUGAGAAUGCCAAACUAAUAAAUUUAUUGAAAAAUUACAAGAUCUUAAAAAUAUGCAGAUUUGAAAAUGUGUAAAAUUGUAUACAUAUUUUUUAAAAGAAAAGCAAAACAACAAUUAUAUAUUUUUUAAAAUAGUUGUCGGCAUCGAAUUUGUUUAUUUGCAGAGUAAGGAGAACGUGACCCGAUUCGCUGUAAGCUUGCAGUAAACUUUUAUAUUUGUUCAGGGUUAUGAGAAUUCUUACAAAAAGAAAACAACUCAGAUUAUAAUUUUCCGUUUAAAACUGUUUUUAAAGCAACUGAUGGUAAGACAAACAAAAUGUUAAAAAAUGUGAGGUACACCCGGCAUCACCUGCUCUGCUUUUAUGGAAGAGGAUCCUCUCCUGAGCUGAGGAGGAGGAUCCUCUUGACCACGAAAUCCAGGCUGUUCAAUUUUAGUUCAACGGUUCUAAACAGGGAGGUCUUCUAAAAGUUAUAAUAAUUGUAAUCGUUGAAUUAAGAUUGAACGGUUCGAAUUUUGUGGUCAAGAGGAUCCUCAUCUUAUGCUCAGGAGAGGAUCCUCUUCCUGCUUUUAUGAGAAUUCUUACAAAAAAAUAUUAAAAAAAUGUGAUAAAGCAACUGAUGGUAAGG